GCCUUCGUGGUGUAGUGGUCAGCACGCUCGACGCGUUUUUAAUAGGUCCGUGGUUCGAGUCCCGGCGAGGGCA
rfam:Stegodyphus mimosarum contig100364, whole genome shotgun sequence.